GAACGCACCUUGCGCCCUUUGGCUAUUCCGAAGGGCAUGCCUGUUUGAGUAUCAUGAACACCUCAACUCUCAUGGUUUGCCGUGAUGAGCUUGGACUUUGGGGGUCUUGCUGGCCUACGGUCAGCUCCCCUAAAAUGAAUCAGCUUGCCAGUGUUUGGUGGGAUCACAGGUGUGAUAACUAUCUACGCUUGUGGCCUUCCACCAAUUAACUUCCAGCAAUGGAGGUUCGCUGGAGCUCAUAAACGUCUCUCCUCAGCGAGGACAGCUCUUUUGAAUGUUUGAUCUCAAAUCAGGUAGGACUACCCGCUGAACUUA
rnacentral:misc_RNA from 1 species